rnacentral:rRNA from 1 species
GACGAACGCUGGCGGCGUGCUUAACACAUGCAAGUCGAACGGUAAGGCCCUUCGGGGUACACGAGUGGCGAACGGGUGAGUAACACGUGGGUGAUCUGCCCUGCACUUCGGGAUAAGCCUGGGAAACUGGGUCUAAUACCGGAUAGGACCACUGCCUGCAUGGGUGGUGGUGGAAAGCUUUUGCGGUGUGGGAUGGGCCCGCGGCCGAUCAGUUUGUUGGUGGGGUGAUGGCCUACCAAGGCGACGACGGGUAGCCGGCCUGAGAGGGUGACCGGCCACACUGGGACUGAGAUACGGCCCAGACUCCUACGGGAGGCAGCAGUGGGGAAUAUUGCACAAUGGGCGCAAGCCUGAUGCAGCGACGCCGCGUGAGGGAUGACGGCCUUCGGGUUGUAAACCUCUUUCAGCACCGACGAAGCGCAAGUGACGGUAGGUGCAGAAGAAGGACCGGCCAACUACGUGCCAGCCGCCGCAGUAA